UUGAACUUUAUUUAAACGGUUUUAGAUUCAUAUGCAAGUGCAGUAAAAGAUAUUACAAAAACGAAAGGAAAAUCUGAUUUGGGGACAGAUGUUUCAGAUAUCGACAAUGAAACAAUGCAAUAUAAACGUAAACGAGCAAGGAACUCAUAUUUGCCUUUAUCAGACACUGAUAUAUGCAGUACUCCAGAAAUAAAUUUUUGUUUGCAAAAGGGUAACUCACAACUAGCUGAACCGAAAACAAAAAAAGCCAUAAAAAGUUAACAAUAUUGUAGGAAGAUCUUCCUGAACCACCUGCUUUUUCAAGUUAUAACACUCCAGAAUAUGUGACAAGCAGAUCAAGUGGUCUAUCUAGCAUUCUGUUAUCAUUUUCUAAACCUUAUAGAAAACCACUUUUAAAAUAAUUUCCAUCAUACUCUUCAGAUGGAUGGUUGUAUUCAGCUGCAACACUAUAUAUUCAGAUUUUCCGACUUUUUCAACUUUUUUACAUCAAACUAGUAAGAUUUUACAAGCAACACUUGGAUCUGGCUGCUUGACACCUGGCAUCUAGCUGAUUGGCUUCUGGCACCAAAUUAUUAAAAAAGCAUGAAAUUUGGUUAUCAUUAUUAGAAUGUAAAGCAAAUUGAUAUUGGUUACGUUGCACAUUGAAUCUGUAAUGUACAAACCUUAAAAGUAAAACCCUAAAAUCAAUUAUUGCACGUAAUGACGGUUUUUUAGAAUUGAUUACUUUAUUGUAUAUUAAAAACCUAUGUGUGUUUGUUUUUAUUUUAGUAUUUUAGACUCUAAAUGGAAAAAAAAAAAAGAAAAAAAGAAAAGGCUGUAUCUUUGGGUAUUUAUAUUUAGCAAAACCAAUAAUUUUUUUUUUACAUAUACUUUUUAAAAGAGAUUUUAAAAAAUUUGUUUGAAAACAAGGAGUGUGGGUUACAGUUUGUCAAUCGAUAUUUGUCUACAAUAAACAUCUGAAGAGUAUCCUACAAAGGGCAGCAUUGUUUAAAAGGAAAUGCUUGUAAUAAGAUGCUUAUAAACACAGACAGCUUUGAGCUGUUUUUUUAGGAGUCCAGUCUUGGAGAUCUCUUAUCCAAAUACGUUAAGGUACUUAGAGAUUUCGAAAAAAUAGUUUAUGGCUGUUUUGGAAAAUCAUCAAGCUCUACAUAUGUCAAAGAUAUGGAGCAGUUGUCUACGAGCUAUAGAAAUCCAGGGGCAACAAUUCCUUUGAAAGUACACAUAGUUGAGCAGAAUAUAAUCAAAUUCAUCGACAUGAAAGGUUACUGGAUCGAACAAGCUCUCGAAUUCAUUCACCAGGAUUUCAAUCAGUUUAGACGAAUGAGAAAAAUUAGAGAACACAGCUCAAUCUAUAUUGAAGCGCUAAAAAACGCAGUUGUUGCUUACAAUUACAAACACUUUUAAAGUAGCGUUGAAGCUCUAAAAAACGCAGCUUUCAAUUUGCAGGUAGCUUGUAAAAAGUAUAAUACUAACCUCUUAUGAAUAAUUGUUUAACAUAAUUUCUCAAUAUAUGAUAUGAUUAUA